GUGGGGAAUCUUGCGCAAUGGGCGAAAGCCUGACGCAGCCAUGCCGCGUGAAUGAUGAAGGUCUUAGGAUUGUAAAAUUCUUUCACCGGGGACGAUAAUGACGGUACCCGGAGAAGAAGCUCCGGCUAACUUCGUGCCAGCAGCCGCGGUAAUACGAAGGGGGCUAGCGUUGCUCGGAAUUACUGGGCGUAAAGGGCGCGUAGGCGGACAGCUUAGUCAGAGGUGAAAGCCCAGGGCUCAACCUUGGAAUUGCCUUUGAUACUGGCUGUCUUGAGUACGGGAGAGGUGAGUGGAACUCCGAGUGUAGAGGUGAAAUUCGUAGAUAUUCGGAAGAACACCAGUGGCGAAGGCGACUCACUGGCCCGUUACUGACGCUGAGGCGCGAAAGCGUGGGGAGCAAACAGGAUUAGAUACCCCAGUAGUCC
rnacentral:rRNA from 1 species